GCCAAAAUAGCUCAGUGGUAGAGCAACGCUCUCGUAAAGCGUAGGUCGUCGGUUCAAAUCCGACUUUUGGCUCAA
rnacentral:tRNA from 1 species